CCUACGGGUGGCAGCAGUGGGGAAUUUUGGACAAUGGGGGCAACCCUGAUCCAGCCAUGCCGCGUGCGGGAAGAAGGCCUUCGGGUUGUAAACCGCUUUCGGCCGGAACGAAAUCGGCAGGGUGAACAAUCCUGCUGGAUGACGGUACCGGAAGAAGAAGCACCGGCUAACUACGUGCCAGCAGCCGCGGUAAUACGUAGGGUGCGAGCGUUAAUCGGAAUUACUGGGCGUAAAGCGUGCGCAGGCGGUCUUUUAAGACAGGUGUGAAAUCCCCGAGCUUAACUUGGGAAUUGCGCUUGUGACUGGAAGGCUCGGAGUGCGGAAGAGGGAGCUGGAAUUCCUGGUGUAGCAGUGAAAUGCGUAGAGAUCAGGAGGAACACCGAUGGCGAAGGCAGGCUCCUGGGCCAGCACUGACGCUCAUGCACGAAAGCGUGGGGAGC
rnacentral:rRNA from 1 species